rnacentral:lncRNA from 1 species
GGGUGAUGAUAAGUCACACACAAUACAAGUACUGAGUCAAAACACAAACAUGCAACAAAACUUAUGAAGGAGGGAAAAAACGGUUGAGGUUAAAAGGGAGAGUGUAGAACUCCUCAUUCCUGAAAACGGUUGAGUUUAAAGGGGAGAGUGUAGAACUCCUAAUUCCUGCUAUCUCCUUUGAAUGUUCUGAACUUAGCCCACCAAGGCAACCCUCUGUCUUUAGCGCUCUCUUUGUAGUCCAAAGUGUUGUCCAAGAACACUGCGAUCAUCAACGCCACC